UGAAGGUGUGAAGGUGUGAGAGGUUGGCUAGGGAUGAAUUCAAGCGAGGUAGAGGUAGACCAUAGAAAUAUUGGAUGGAGGUGAUUAGACAUGACAUGGAGCAACUUCAGCUUACGGAGGACAUGACCUUAGAUAGAAAGGUAUGGAGAAAGUAGAUUAGGGUAGAAAGAUAGUAGGAAGGGAGUGUCAUUGUUAGUAGGUAAGAGGACUUUAUUUUGUUAGUCGGGCAUGUAGCUAUAGUAUCAAUAUUAUUUCAGAGUGUGUUAUUAAUGUUGUAUUACUUGGUUAGCCGUGUUUAUGUUAUUAUUGGGUGUGGUUACUUAUUCCUAUUGUUUCUUGUUAGGUAUGUUGUUGUUUGUUUUGUUUGAUUUUCUCUUAGCUCCCAAGGGCAUCCCUAGAUAAAUGGAGGCAAUUCUCCUAUACUACCCCCUAGAAUGUUAGUUAAGUUGUAGAAGCCAAGCACCUCACAAAAUGGCUAGCCAAGAAAUCUUACAUUCAAAAGAUAAAGGGGGCGGAGAUGAGAAUGUUACGAUGGAUUUAUGGGUAUACGAGGAAGGAUAUGAUUAGAAAUGAGGUUAUUCGAGAUAAGGUGGGAGUGGCGUCUAUGGAAAGCCAAAAUGCGUGAAGUGAGGUUGAGAUGGUUUGGAAAUGUGAUGAGAAGGGGCAGGGAAGCCCCAGUGUGGAGGUGUGAAGGUGUGAAGGUGUGAGAGGUUGGCUAGGGAUGAAUUCAAGCGAGGUAGAGGUAGACCAUAGAAAUAUUGGAUGGAGGUGAUUAGACAUGACAUGGAGCAACUUCAGCUUACGGAGGACAUGACCUUAGAUAGAAAGGUAUGGAGAAAGUAGAUUAGGGUAGAAAGAUAGUAGGAAGGGAGUGUCAUUGUUAGUAGGUAAGAGGACUUUAUUUUGUUAGUCGGGCAUGUAGCUAUAGUAUCAAUAUUAUUUCAGAGUGUGUUAUUAAUGUUGUAUUACUUGGUUAGCCGUGUUUAUGUUAUUAUUGGGUGUGGUUACUUAUUCCUAUUGUUUCUUGUUAGGUAUGUUGUUGUUUGUUUUGUUUGAUUUUCUCUUAGCUCCCAAGGGCAUCCCUAGAUAAAUGGAGGCAAUUCUCCUAUACUACCCCCUAGAAUGUUAGUUAAGUUGUAGAAGCCAAGCACCUCACAAAAAGGUAGAUGAAACAUUUACCCCAGUUAAUACGAAUCCCUGAAAUAGCUUUGAAAAGGAUGAAAAUGACUCAGAUAUUUCACUGGAUCACUAUCAGCUUCAAAGAAAAUGAGUGUAUCCAGCGUUAUCUUUAACCAUAUCGCUGGAGCCCCUAAUCCAUCUGUUACUCUGAGUUGUCCUUAGCCUGUCAUUGGGACUUAGCCUGUCAUUGAGACCAUCCAUUGACGGUAUGAAGAGAUAGAGAUAAGACAUCCCCUUGUCUCAAUCUUCUAUCAGCUGAAAAGAAGUCAAACGGUGAACCAUUAACAAACACAAAGAAUUUCACUGUGGUAACACAAAACUUGAUCCACCUCCAAAACCCUUUUUUUCCAUAGACUUCCGGAGAAACUCCAAGUUUAAAUGGUCGUAUGUUUUUUCUGUAUCUAACUUACAUAAAAUGCUAUUCCUGAUUUUCCUUAAAUCCACACAUUCAUUAUCUAUCAGGAUGGCAUCCACGAUCUGUGAUCUUUCUAGUUUCGAUGAAUGCCAUUUGAUGGACAUCCACCAACUUAGACACAACUUGCUUUAACCUCUCAGUCAGAAUUAUAAAUGCUCCCAAUCAAAAUAAUAGGUCUGAAAUCUUUUAAUUCCUUAGCCUCCAUCUUCUUUGGAAUCAAGGCUAUGAAAAUUUUUUUCAAAAAAGCUCUGUGCAUGAAAAUUCUGUAUAGCCGCCACAGCUGUUAACUCACUAUAACCAACAGUCGAUAAAGAAUGCCAUAGAAUAGCCAUAAGGACCCGAAGCUUUAUCCCCUAUUGCAUGCCAUAACACACUCUUUAAUCUCCGGUUCCCCAAAUUGACACUGUAACAUGAUGUUGUCUUCUUCACUAAUCAAAGACCCUGGACUGAUAACAGAGUGUGGUCUCAAUGUUUUGGAUUCAGUAUACAGAUUCUGUAAAACUGUACAAUGUCCUUUUUUAUCUCAGCAGGUUUCCACUAUAUUAACACAAAUAUAGACAGUUCCAAAUAUUUGUGAUCCAUUCAAUCAAAUUGCAAUAAAACUCAACUCCUUGACAUACAUUUAUAGUUAAUACAAAAAAUAGAAUCAUCAAGCGAGGUAUUAAGAUGAAGAAUUUUAACUCCUACGGAUCUAGUGAACACCUGGCAAGACGGUACACGGAGGAAAGGAUGAAUAUGAUCUAGAAG
rnacentral:lncRNA from 1 species